rnacentral:rRNA from 1 species
AGAACGAACGCUGGCGGCAUGCCUAAUACAUGCAAGUCGAACGAAGGCUUCGGCCUUAGUGGCGCACGGGUGCGUAACGCGUGGGAAUCUGCCCCUUGGUUCGGAAUAACAGUUGGAAACGACUGCUAAUACCGGAUGAUGACGAAAGUCCAAAGAUUUAUCGCCAAGGGAUGAGCCCGCGUAGGAUUAGCUAGUUGGUGAGGUAAAGGCUCACCAAGGCGACGAUCCUUAGCUGGUCUGAGAGGAUGAUCAGCCACACUGGGACUGAGACACGGCCCAGACUCCUACGGGAGGCAGCAGUAGGGAAUAUUGGACAAUGGGCGAAAGCCUGAUCCAGCAAUGCCGCGUGAGUGAGUGAAGGCCGUUAGGUUGUAAGUCUCGUUUUACCCGAGAUGAUAAUGACAGUAGUCGGAGAAGUAACGCCCCGGUACUAACCGUCCGU